GGGUUGUGAGGUUAAGCGACUAAGCGUACACGGUGGAUGCCCUGGCAGUCAGAGGCGAUGAAGGGCGUGCUAAUCUGCGAUAAGCGCCGGUAAGGUGAUAUGAACCGUUAUAACCGGCGAUACCCGAAUGGGGAAACCCAGUGUGACUCGUCACACUAUCAUUAACUGAAUCCAUAGGUUAAUGAGGCGAACCGGGGGAACUGAAACAUCUAAGUACCCCGAGGAAAAGAAAUCAACCGAGAUUCCCCCAGUAGCGGCGAGCGAACGGGGAGGAGCCCAGAGCCUGAAUCAGCAUGUGUGUUAGUGGAAGCGUCUGGAAAGGCGCGCGAUACAGGGUGACAGCCCCGUACACAAAAGCGCAUGUGCUGUGAGCUCGAUGAGUAGGGCGGGACACGUGGUAUCCUGUCUGAAUAUGGGGGGACCAUCCUCCAAGGCUAAAUACUCCUGACUGACCGAUAGUGAACCAGUACCGUGAGGGAAAGGCGAAAAGAACCCCGGCGAGGGGAGUGAAAAAGAACCUGAAACCGUGUACGUACAAGCAGUGGGAGCCCCACCACUAAGCCAGUGGUGAACUCCACAUACGCAUCCUUUGCUGAGGAUACGGUUAACGGAGCGAAAGCGACGUUCAACCGCAAAAGAAGCAGAGGGGGCUUAGUGGUGGGGUGACUGCGUACCUUUUGUAUAAUGGGUCAGCGACUUAUAUUCUGUAGCAAGGUUAACCGUAUAGGGGAGCCGUAGGGAAACCGAGUCUUAACCGGGCGUUAAGUUGCAGGGUAUAGACCCGAAACCCGGUGAUCUAGCCAUGGGCAGGUUGAAGGUUGGGUAACACUAACUGGAGGACCGAACCGACUAAUGUUGAAAAAUUAGCGGAUGACCUGUGGCUGGGGGUGAAAGGCCAAUCAAACCGGGAGAUAGCUGGUUCUCCCCGAAAGCUAUUUAGGUAGCGCCUCGUGAAUUCAUCUCCGGGGGUAGAGCACUGUUUCGGCUAGGGGGCCAUCCCGGCUUACCAACCCGAUGCAAACUGCGAAUACCGGAGAAUGUUAUCACGGGAGACACACGGCGGGUGCUAACGUCCGUCGUGAAGAGGGAAACAACCCAGACCGCCAGCUAAGGUCCCAAAGUCAUGGUUAAGUGGGAAACGAUGUGGGAAGGCCCAGACAGCCAGGAUGUUGGCUUAGAAGCAGCCAUCAUUUAAAGAAAGCGUAAUAGCUCACUGGUCGAGUCGGCCUGCGCGGAAGAUGUAACGGGGCUAAACCAUGCACCGAAGCUGCGGCAGCGAACGUAUCACUUAAAGCGAUUCAGCGGGUUACGAUUGACGGAGCGAAGCGACGUCAAAGCGUAUACAAAGUCGAGUCGGUUUAAGGAUACGUUCGUUGGGUAGGGGAGCGUUCUGUAAGCCUGUGAAGGUGGCCUGUGAGGGUUGCUGGAGGUAUCAGAAGUGCGAAUGCUGACAUAAGUAACGAUAAAGCGGGUGAAAAGCCCGCUCGCCGGAAGACCAAGGGUUCCUGUCCAACGUUAAUCGGGGCAGGGUGAGUCGACCCCUAAGGCGAGGCCGAAAGGCGUAGUCGAUGGGAAACGGGUUAAUAUUCCCGUACUUGGUGUUACUGCGAAGGGGGGACGGAGAAGGCUAUGUUGGCCGGGCGACGGUUGUCCCGGUUUAAGCGUGUAGGUGUGUGUUCCAGGUAAAUCCGGUUCACUUUAACACUGAGGCGUGAUGACGAGGCACUACGGUGCUGAAGCAACAAAUGCCCUGCUUCCAGGAAAAGCCUCUAAGCAUCAGGUAACACGAAAUCGUACCCCAAACCGACACAGGUGGUCAGGUAGAGAAUACCAAGGCGCUUGAGAGAACUCGGGUGAAGGAACUAGGCAAAAUGGUGCCGUAACU
rnacentral:rRNA from 1 species